rnacentral:rRNA from 1 species
AUUGAACGCUGGCGGCAGGCCUAACACAUGCAGGUCGAGCGGAUGAAGGGAGCUUGCUCCUGGAUUCAGCGGCGGACGGGUGAGUAAUGCCUAGGAAUCUGCCUGGUAGUGGGGGAUAACGUCCGGAAACGGGCGCUAAUACCGCAUACGUCCUGAGGGAGAAAGUGGGGGAUCUUCGGACCUCACGCUAUCAGAUGAGCCUAGGUCGGAUUAGCUAGUUGGUGGGGUAAAGGCCUACCAAGGCGACGAUCCGUAACUGGUCUGAGAGGAUGAUCAGUCAAACUAGAACUGAGACACGGUCCAGACUCCUACGGGAGGCAGCAGUGGGGAAUAUUGGACAAUGGGCGAAAGCCUGAUCCAGCCAUGCCGCGUGUGUGAAGAAGGUCUUCGGAUUGUAAAGCACUUUAAGUUGGGAGGAAGGGCAGUAAGUUAAUACCUUGCUGUUUUGACGUUACCAACAGAAUAAGCACCGGCUAACUUCGU